AGUUUUCCCCUUCGGGGGANAGAGUGACAGGUGGUGCAUGGUUGUCGUCAGCUCGUGUCGUGAGAUGUUGGGUUAAGUCCCGCAACGAGCGCAACCCUUAAGCUUAGUUGCCAUCAUUAAGUUGGGCACUCUAAGUUGACUGCCGGUGACAAACCGGAGGAAGGUGGGGAUGACGUCAAAUCAUCAUGCCCCUUAUGAUUUGGGCUACACACG
rnacentral:rRNA from 1 species